GCGAAGAAACGAUCGUUGUGUUUCGAAUCUUUGAUUCGUCUCGAGUGCGUGGUGCGCACGACAAUCGUCGGAAGUGUCGUUUAAAGCGACGAGCGAUCGUCGUGACGCGAGAAUUAGCCUCUAUGACUGCAGAUUGAGUUGCGCGAUGACCGUCCAGAAUAUUCGCAGCAGGGCGGGAAAAUGGCCAGCAUUGACUGUUUUCCAAGCAUAAUCGACGAAGCGGAUCACUUGCCCGUAUGAAUGAUCGGUCUAGUAUAAUCAGAGCCCGGAGAGGACACAUUAUAUCGAGAUCCAAUAGAGCAGACGCAGUCACGCGGCUCUAUGGAAUGCGACGCCAGAGGAUUUGGCUCGGGCCUGUCUGAGUCGGCUC